rnacentral:rRNA from 1 species
GACUCUCGGCAACGGAUAUCUCGGCUCUCGCAUCGAUGAAGAACGUAGCGAAAUGCGAUACUUGGUGAAUUGCAGAAUCCCGUGAACCAUCGAGUCUUUGAACGCAAGUUGCGCCC